rnacentral:rRNA from 1 species
GACGAACGCUGGCGGCGUGCUUAACACAUGCAAGUCGAACGGAAAGGCCCUGCUUUUGUGGGGUGCUCGAGUGGCGAACGGGUGAGUAACACGUGAGUAACCUGCCCUUGACUUUGGGAUAACUUCAGGAAACUGGGGCUAAUACCGGAUAGGAGCUCCCGCUCCAUGGUGGGGGUUGGAACGUUUCGGCGGUUGGGGAUGGACUGGCGGCUUAUCAGCUUGGUGGUGGGGUAGUGGCUUACCAAGGCUUUGACGGGUAGCCGGCCUGAGAGGGUGACCGGCCACAUUGGGACUGAGAUACGGCGCAGACUCCUACGGGAGGCAGCAGUGGGGAAUAUUGCACAAUGGGCGGGAGCCUGUUGCAGCAACGCCGCGUGCGGGAUGACGGCCUUCGGGUUGUAAACCGCUUUCGCCUGUGACGAAGCGUGAGUGACGGUAAUGGGUAAAGAAGCACCGGCUAACUACGUG